rnacentral:lncRNA from 1 species
UUAUAGAAAGAAACUAUUGAGAGUUAUUUUAUUUUUCUUUAUUAUUUUGGCUUGAUUCUUUUAUCAUCAGGUGUUGAUAGAAUUUUCGUCAAUCUCUUACACGUUCGUAUUCGUAGAAGGAGUAAUUCCGGUCGUACCUUAAGACGGUGUUUCCGGUUAACCCUGCACAAAGAACGGAAAUACGCCUUAGUCUAGUGUUUCGCACGUUUUCGAAUCAAAUUAUGUGGCAUUCUUCUUCCACAAUAUUUUUAAAAUUUAGCAAUCAUCUAUAAGUUAAAUUUAUUAAUUUUCUCACAAAAUUAGCUGGAUUUUAAUCACAAUCGGAUUGUUCGUUGUAGUUUCCCCAAUGAUGACAUCAUUAAUUUUUGUCUAAUUUUGACAAUUUGUCCUUAAAAUUAUAAGGCCCAUUAUUUUUUUAUUCUCAAAGUUUAAUUUAUUAUAAUUUUUUAUGUGAAUUUUAAAAAUUAUUAUAAUCAAGUCUGAUAAUUAAAUUUAGUUGAUUAAAUAUUAUCAUAUUGCUUGUGUAAAAGUAAUUUGACUUCUUAAUUUUUGUCACACAUCGAUCACACAUUGAUAGGGGUGGAAACGAGCCGAGCUCGAGCGAGCUUACCUCGGCUCAAAUUCGGCUUGAAAUUAAUUUCGGGCUUAAAUUUCAGCUCAAGCUUGGAUUGAAAUUAAUUCGAGCCGAGCUCGAGCGAGCCUAAUUUCGAGUCGAGCGAGCUCGAGCCCUAAACGAGCCGCUUGAAAUUCUCAACAUCAUACGAUCAAUACUUUAAUUUGUAUAGAACAUUAUCUAUAAUUUGAUACAAAAAUAUAUCUAAUAGCUCAAAGUACAAAAUAAUUAUAUAAAAUAUAGUAUUAUAAUAUGAAAAAAAUAAUUUAUAAGUUGAAUAUCUAAUCUUUUCAGCCUCAUAUGUCUUUUUUUCCGCCUUUAAUCUCAAUAUUAUUUAUUUUCAUUUAUGCAGUCAAAAAUAAAUAAAUUUUAUAGAUAAAUAUUUGAUUAAACUAUCCAAUCAUAUAUAACAAAAAUUAAAAUUUUAUAUGAAUAAUAAUUUUUUACUUUAAAAAUAUUCUGUAUAUUUUCUCAAGCAUACAAUUAAUAGCAAGAUAGGCAACAGCAGGCAUAUGCUGUUACUUGGUAACUUGGAGGGCGUCCCGCUUGGCCGCUUAGGAUAAGAGACAGAAAAAGAGAAAGAGAGAAACAUAUUGAAAAUUUAGAGUUCUAUGAAAGAAAGAAGAAAAGGAAAAAUGUAUAAAUUUAGUGAAAUUUUGCUCUUUUAUUUGUCUAUUGAGUUUGUUUUUAUAGGCCAACAACAUUGGCCCAAUUUUAACUAAACUCAGAUUAUUCACUCAGCCUAUAUAUAAUUAAAAUAUAUUAUAUUUAUAUAUUUUUUAAUAUAUAUAU